rnacentral:tRNA from 1 species
UCUUUAGUUCAGUUGGUAGAACGUAGGUCUCCAAAACCUAAUGUCGAAGGUUCAAGUCC